UACGUAGGGCGCAAGCGUUGUCCGGAAUUAUUGGGCGUAAAGAGCUCGUAGGCGGCUUGUCACGUCGGAUGUGAAAGUCCGGGGCUCAACCCCGGGAGGCGGGCGGAUACUGUCGGGCUAGAGUCCGGAAGAGGCGAGUGGAAUUCCUGGUGUAGCGGUGAAAUGCGCAGAUAUCAGGAGGAACACCAAUGGCGAAGGCAGCUCGCUGGGACGGUACUGACGCUGAGGCGCGAAAGCGUGGGGAGCAAACAGG
rnacentral:rRNA from 1 species